AGCUAUACCAGCUACUUCCAACCUAUUCUCUCGCAUGUAUCUUCUUCAUCCAAACUCUAUUUGGUUGAUCUUAGUCUUGUUGGAUUUUAUUUUUCAUCCUGAAUCUCAUUCUAGGCUUAUUGUGGACCGAAUCUUGAGAUAUUUUCCUCAACAAUCUCCACCUCAACUUGAUGUCAGCCUCUAUCUGUCUUUGAGAGUUUGUGAUCUAUCUCGCACCCAUGCCUUGGGGCAUGCCUGCUGUCU
rnacentral:lncRNA from 1 species